UGCCAGCCCCGAUUGAAGCGGCAUCCUUUUUUCCGGUCAUUGCGGUUCCCGAAAGGACCGGAAAAAGAUACAGCGGAAAGCGGGAACACGG
rnacentral:sRNA from 1 species